UACAGAGGUGGCAAGCGUUGUUCGGGUUUAUUGGGCGUAAAGGGUUCGUAGGCGGUCUGGCAAGUUGGAUGUGAAAUCCCACAGCUUAACUGUGGAACUGCAUUCAAAACUGCCAGACUAGAGUGUGAGAGGGGUAAAGGGAAUUCCCGGUGUAAGGGUGAAAUCUGCAGAGAUCGGGAAGAACACCAGUCGCGAAGGCGCUUUACUGGCUCACAACUGACGCUGAGGGACGAAAGCUAGGGUAGCGAACGGG
rnacentral:misc_RNA from 1 species